rnacentral:rRNA from 1 species
AUGGAUGAGUAUUUCAGACGGGACAAGGCGUAUUUUCCUAUGCACGUUAAUGAUAAUCAUUGGAUAACCAUAGUGAUGCACACCGUCAAGGAGGAGUUUCAAGUUCUUGACUCAAAUUCUAAAGGCGCAAUUAGCCAAAGAAUUCGCAAUAUGAUUACCACCCUGAGAGCUGAAAUUCCAAAGGAUAUUAUGGAGGCCAACUCAACUCUUGAAGCAAUAAAAUUUCCAGAUGUCUCAUCGUGGCCAAUUAAUGAGUAUAAAAUGCCAAGACAAAAAUAUGAGUGUCUUGUGGACUUUUUGUGA